rnacentral:SRP_RNA from 1 species
UGUCGGGUCCCGGGCGGCGACACGCCGUGAACCUGGUCAGAUCCGGAAGGAAGCAGCCAUAAGCGGCCCCUGUCGGGUGUCCGGGGCCCGUCACCG